rfam:Monodelphis domestica chromosome 2, whole genome shotgun sequence.
UCUCAGGUUUUCCUGAAAACCAUCACCUACAUUUUUAAAAAAGUAGU